CAGAGUACGUGCUCGUCGCGAUAACUAAAUCAGCCAGUGGCUUAGCAUCUUCGGAUAUCGAGAUGGGUCGAUGAUAAUACUCGAACUCAACUACUUUGUCCUGGUCUAUGCAAUCUUCCUGGUAAUGAAAAAUGAAAAAGCACAGCACCGAGUAAAGGCACGACGCCGUAAUCAGGCACUCUCGUGCGAGAAUUGAAAACGAGGCGUCCCCCAAGUUCAACGACAUUUUCCAUUAUGAUCGAAGCUUCCUCACUGUCGAAACCAGUUAUGAGAAACGUUUUUCCUGGAGGAAAAAAAAUCGUAAAUGAAUGUGGAAAAAAAAUGAAGAAAUUCAAAAGUUGUAGAUUGACUAUAAGGCACAGCACUAUCAUUGGAUCGAUCCUUCGUCACCUCAGGAUCUAUGCUUACAUUUGUUUUCGAAAUAUUCAAUGAGUCAACUCUGCUGACUGUUUUCGAAGUUGGUUUCAAAGUGGAAUUAUAUUGAACUGUAAUUUCAGAGGCUGAAAAAUAAACGAAUGAAAGUUUUUUAUGCUUAUGAUUAUAAGUACGAUUUGAAAUAAUAACAAAAAAAAUGGCAAGAAUUAUUUACCACUAUUUUCAUCUGUUUUUUGAAGAUAUUGUUGCAAGAGACUGGUUUCAUCGUCUUCACCUUCGGUAGUAUUUUCCAUGGCUCUUGGAUGAUCAGUAUCAAGUUGUGGUGCCCUUGGUCUCUUAGGUCUUUGCAACAUCUCUGUUUCAGCAUGAGGACUCGAACCCUUCUCGUCGAUGAAACGUUCCUCAGGAGCUGGACGCUGUAAUCUGAGACUUUCUUGGAGCCAGUCGAGACUCAGUACAUGAGGACUGGAUAUGAGGAAAUUUACCAAAUACGAUUAGUUGAAAGAAAAACAAAUUUGCUUCUAUGCUUUGUUAAGUUCAAUGAUUUUACUCACUUCAAUCCUUUGCCAUGAAUGAGCUUAAGUUCAUUUGAAGCCUUACUGGGAUCGCCGACAAUCACAUGAGUUAUCGAGUCGGAAAUAUCAUUCAAUCUCGUCGCACCACCAGCGUUUAAUAUACGAUUGAUUUUAUCUCGAUGAUUCGUUGGAAAUCCUGUCAAGUAUAUCUGUAAAAAAGAGAAACAUGAAAAUGGAAAAAUCACGUAUAGAAAUUGGUCAAGUUUCUAUGGGCUAAACUUGCGUUGCAUCCAUCAAGAAAUGGGCCAGCCAAUUUUGCUUCUCUGACAUCAAGCCUGUCUAGUUUGGAAAUAUAUGGGGCCAGAGACUGACAAUCGUUUGAAGCAUACAAGGAAACAUUGUUUGCGCUAGUCAUUGAAUUCAUUGUUGCUGUCAUCGUUUCCUCAACGAUGUGGUUGGUAUUGACUGAUUCUUUAAUCAUACUUAUACUCGAACAGUUGAGAGCCGGAACUGCGCAGAUAAAUAACAAGAAUUUUAGUAAAUGGAAGGAAAAUUACAAUGAAAUACUUUUUUGUAUUGAUAUUAUAGAAUUAGAAGCAGGGAAGAAAAGUUAAUAUCAUUUGGAUGUUCGAAAACUUACUUUGUGAUUUGUCUGGUGUUGAACAUCCUUUGGUCGACAAAACAAGAUAUUCUGUGAAUGGCAAAGCGUAGCCAGCGCUUAUACUUUUGGUAACCCAUUCAACAUUUAAACAAGCAAUAUUAUUGUCCCUGGCGUAUCUGAGUUUGUCCGUUAGAGAGCAAUUCAGUGGGGCAAGGACCACCUUUACCUUUGACCCAUCUAAAGCACCCAUAAACGUCUGAAAUCGAGAAAAUAACGAAAAAUUAAUUGGAUAAUAGGGCGAGGGGAUUGAAUGUAAAUGGAAAAACCGAUAGAGAUUGUCUUACCCCGCCGUUUUCAUUGAUUAAUUUUUUGGCCGUUUCUUUCUGGUUCUUCGAUAAAUUCGUUGCCGUAACAAUGAGAUUCAUGAAAACAGGACAUUUAUACCCGUCGAAUCGUGAAUCGUCAUAUUUCACGAAUUCUUUCAUAUUUGCUUGCCAAAUUGCAUCUACCCAACCAUCCGUUAAUACAGGGAUUCCUCGUUCUAUUGCUUUCUAAAUGAAUAGACAAAGUAUCAAAUCGUGGUUUGAGAAAUUACGAUUACACACUGAAUCACAUGAAACAUUAUCAUCAUAGGGUUGUCAAUUUUUAACAAGUCUCAUUAUUUUCCAUUACCUCGUACUUUAGUGACAUGACAGAAUCACUUAUUAAAUGAGUGACAGAGGCCCUCAGUUGUUUCAUAUAUAUGCCACCCAUGUACUCCACUCUUUGUUGAAUUUUUUUCUGUGCACAAAAAAUAAAUUAUCCAUGAGUUUUUAUAGAA